CUGCCCGACAGACCGUCCUUCGUGCCGUGCGAGACCAUGCUGAGGAACAGCAGCUGUGUCAGUUAAACAAAUCAAGUUCAAAGUGGAGUUGCACUUACAAGGAGCAAGCCUCUGGGUGAUUCGCGUGCCGCAACCACACAGCCAGCGACUGCAAUGAUGACUAUAACAAUGCCCAGGCUAAUGAUCAAGCCGCCAGCUACAUUUUCGCCAAUGCUCACCGAAGUUACAUAUAUUCUUUAAAGAUAAG